rnacentral:rRNA from 1 species
UACGUAGGGUGCAAGCGUUGUCCGGAUUUAUUGGGCGUAAAGAGCUCGUAGGCGGUUUGCCGCGUCUGCUGUGAAAACUCAGGGCUUAACCCUGAGCCUGCUUCCGAUACGGGCAGACUAGAGGUAUGCAGGGGAGAACGGAAUUCCUGGUGUAGCGGUGAAAUGCGCAGAUAUCAGGAGGAACACCGGUGGCGAAGGCGGUUCUCUGGGCAUUACCUGACGCUGAGGAGCGAAAGUGUGGGGAGCAAACAGG